AACCUGUUUGCUGUGGAGCAGGCAGCAGUCACAGUUCUGGCAGUGGAUGGUGUCUGUUCCCCAGCAUCAAGUGCUCUGAAGAUGUCAGUGCACAGUGGUUGCCUCAGUGUGAUUUUAACCUGGUCGCAGGCUGGCACAUCCCAGGAGCAUCGAUGGAACAGACCACUGGACUCCCCGAGGUAUCCUGGGGUCCGCAAGAGUUCCUGGGUCAAGGAGAUGGCAAGCACCGAGCCCCACACAACGCGCCACUCUGUAGCAGCCACUGGGCAGGACAGUCCUUGAUCAGUGCUGAGCGAGUGACCAGGGACAGCAGCAGCACUUUGUGUCCAACGCAUGGGCAGAAGGGGCAGGUGGCACUUUCCAAGAAGGUGAACUGUGCACCCGCAGCUGGAGGCUGCCCUUCACCUCUGCACCCGCUGCCAUUGGCCCCUUCGUCACGGGCCUGGGGCUGUCUGGAGACACCCGCUGUGGGCACCCAACUGAUUAUCAGCUUACAUGGAAAACAAGCACCAGGAAAUGAGGACGACGGUGAGGCCAAACAUUUUAAAUUCCAGAUCCAUUGCUCAACUUUAAUGAACCAGAGCAUGUAGAAGCCUAUUUUUUUGGCUGCUGCAGGAGUUUUAUGGGUGUGCACUUUUGGGUACUGAUUGCCAUAGAGGCAUUUCCUCCCACUUCUUCCCCUGCCCACCACGCAGCAGGGAUCUGACCCUGAGUGGGUCAGGAACCUGGUUGCAGCAUCUUGCCCCAUGACAUCUUGCCUGUUGCACUUGUCCCAGUUUCCUCGGGUCAUUUUCAAGAGAGUCAUGACUUUGAAGUUGACUUGUUCGUCGCAAACUCAUUUUCAAGUGUCUGCUGUGUACAGACAGCCCUCUCAUGGGGGUGGGCUGAGAAGUGGGGAGGUGCUGGGGGAAAGCAUGCUGCUUCCCACAGCAAUGCCUUCGGCUGGCAGAGGGGCACUCACGGGAUUGGGCAGAUGGGUGAGGGCAGUCUUGCUGGAUCAGAGGUCAGCAAGGAAGCCCACAGGCUGCAGAAGUGGGGCUCAGGGAAGAUAUGGGAGAUGAGAGGACAGAGGAGAUGAGAAGCCCACGAGAGUGACAGAGACCAAGGCCACACUGCUCCGGCUCUCUGAGGUCGGUCAGUCUGGGCGGCUGUCCACAGCACCGUCCCUGAAGUCCCUUGGCGGUGGGUACACACACACAUGAAUGUACGAGAAUUUGCCAUCUGGCUAUUGAGACAGGAGCAGGGACAGCAUAAAAACAGCUACAUGUUGGGUUGGGGGUGAAGCAGUAUAAGCUGUGGAGGCCACCGCAGGGCCCCACCACAAGCCCAAUGUCGAGGUCAUUUCUGCAGGGUGCUGACCAAGGCCUCUGGGAGCCACACCUUGGUCAGGCACUGCGACACCCCAUUCUGUAGCUCCCUCUGAUCACACCUCCACCUCACCAUCUUCCCCUCAGUGAAGGAAGGCAUCUUCCCUUUCAGUCAACAACUGCCAUUUGGGCCAAAUUAGCCCAUGUUAGUAUGGGCAAAUGACAGCUUCCUUGCCUCUCCUGGGCCCAUGGAAAGAGGGCUGGGGUCAGAUCUGCAGGCACCUCCUGUGUCCAUGUGUGCAUCUCUGAGAGCCUGGCCUCUCUGGUCUCACCUGUCUGUCUUGGGAGGAAAUGCAGAGAGUUGAGUUCACACCUAAAAGGGUGUCAGUAAUCCAGCUAGGAGUGCAUUUCAAUAACUUAAGCAUAUUCGUUUUUAAUUUAUACAUCUUUAACUGGUAUAUAAAAGCUGUACGUACUAAUGGAUAAUGUGAUGUUUUAGUAACGUAUGCAUUGUGUAAUGUUUAAACCAAGUUAAACAUGGCUAUCUAAGUGGUAAUAGAAAAAAACCCUGAAAAUCCUUUAUCCUAGCUUUUUGAAGUGCAGUAUAUUAGUGACCCCUCAUUAUCCUACAAUGCCACACACACCAGAGUUUUAGCUCCUCUUAACCAAAUUCCCAGGAUCAAGCAAGGGACACCAGGAGGCGCUGUGCUCUUUGCUUUCCAACCUCACCUUGGUUUGUAGUCAACUUGUGACUGGGCCUGAGCUUUGUGCCACUUCCCUAAAUCCAGUGUGUGCAGCUCCAACCCUGUGCUGUUUCCUGUAGAGGAGGAGAGAAAACAGCCCCAUCCGGAGGCCCAGGGAGGAAGCUGUGAGGUGAAGAAGUGCCUGCCCCUCCCCAUGCCCCAUCCCAAGAUGCUGAGCUGAGAGGUAAUUGCUCACUGGAGUGUGUCCUGAUGUGCACAUGGAGCUGUCAUCGGAGUUCAAGGUCCUAUCACCAACUCCACCGAGCAGAUCCUUAUUCCUGCUCUUUGCCUCAGUGUCCACACAGCAGUGUCCUUUCAGCUCGAGCAGCACAUCUUGAGGAAGGCCUAGGAUCACUGUCGCUGAUCGGAAGCCCUGCAUCACAGUUCCUGAGAAACUUGGGCGCAUUGUCUAACAGCCAACCUUUGUGUUUGCUAGAAGAAAGACCAGCAGCUGCCAGAUUCAAAAUAGAACGUGAAUCAUGUCGCAGGAACCCUGAUUGACCCGAGCACACUCAUUGUGCAAUGCCCUUUGAGGACGGAGAGAUAAGCGGAUCCUCCCGGUGAUGGUCACUGUCUUGGAACCGCAGCACAGCAGGUCCAGCCUCUCCCCAGCUCCCUGUGUUUCUGUAGUGCCACACGUCCAGAGGGACCAGAUCCUUCAGGGGAAGCGAAUGCAGAGCCUCCCAGAAGAGCCACUUUUUUACAGCGAAUCACUGUCUCUGCUGUGUCCAUCUCCCAGCCUGCUGGUUUCAUGCAGUGAUGUUUAACUGUGUUUUGUUUUGUUUUGUUUUGUUCUUCUUCUUCUUCAUACCUGGCCUAAAUUCUUAAUGGCAUGACACAGUUUUCCACAGUGAAGCACAAAAAUUAGCACACUGAAGGAUUCAGUGCUUGACAGGUUUAUAGUUCGUGCAUAUGAGGAAUAGUAUCUUCUGCUCCAAAGCUUUAAUUCUGUCUUGGUGUAAGUGACUUUUUUUUCCCUGUGGUGCUGGGAUGGAGCCCAGGGUAUAACGCAUGCUGGGCACACACUCACCUGUGAGCCACACCCCAGCCUGAUGUGACCCAUCUUUGCAGGUCCAGUCCUCCCCUUGGACAUCGAGAAUUGUUCAGGACAUGGGUGAUGUGCAAAAUCUGGCCACCUUACGUUCUACUUCUUUAUACCAUCAGCAUAGUCUUGCACUUACACAAAAUAGGUUUUCAAGAAAUACUUGUGAAUUUUUUUAUUUUUAAUUUUUAUUGUAGUAAAUGUCUCAUAACAAAAUUUUUGUUGAAGUUGAGCAGUGUUAGAUAAAUCCACAGUGCUGUGCAAUCCAGUAAGUUGUCUUAAGGCAGAGCACAACUAACAUCUCAAUGGGUCUCGAGCAGUGUCUCCUCCCUUCAGCUUUGAAAAGUAGCUCUGAGCAAAAUCCAUAGGCAAUAAACUAUAAGGACCACUUAGGAAAAGCCAUGAGGCUGCUUCAUCUUUUCUUUUCCUGGUCAGUUAGGAGGGAGCUGGGCCGGUGGCUGGGCAGGGCCAGUGGAGAUACUCAGGGCGCAUCUGAGGACCUGACAACACCCCUCGCCUCCACACUGCCCCCUUGUUGAUCCUCAAAAAUGUCAAGCUUGUAAGGUCCUUUCCAGCAGUUCCUACCUCUUCCUCAAAGGAUCUUCUUACAUUACGCAUCACACUGAGCAACAGAACAGCUUGUGGAGCUCAACUGGAGGCCACAGCCAGGCCAAUGCCCAUUAAAUCACAGUCUCUGGACUUUUUUUUUGGUACUGGAAAUCGAACUCGGAACCUUAUGCUGCGAGGCAGGUGAUGGAACCGCAGAGCUAAGACCCCUGCCCAAGUCUCUGGGCUCUUAAUGAUGAGUAUUUUAAAAAAGAAAAUCCCUCCCCUGGCUUUCCACUGUGCUGUCCUUCUGAGAGGAGCAUUUCUGGAAUGCAGAUUCUAGUCCUGUUUCCUGGGAGAGCAGCAGGAGCCACCCCACACCCAGGCCAUGCACCCUAAAUAUCCUCACCACCCAAAGAGCUGGGCUCACUGGAGAAAAGGCUGCUUCAAGGUGGAGGCAGGGAAAGCUUCAGAAGAGCUGGAAACAUUGUACCAGGAAGCAAGAAAGUGCAUCCGGAAUGAUGGACACACAUGAGGCAUAGGGGCCAAUUUCAGGGAGCAGCCUGCUGGGAGGUGAAUCUGAUGCUAAUGGAGUCUGCUGCAUGAGCUACAAAUCCCGGGUUCCUUGUUACAUAAAGAAACUAAUGACUGGUUUAUAUUUUUAAAUAGUUUAAAAGACCUACUUAUUGAACCCUGCUAAGGUAUAUACUUAUUCCCAUCAAGUACUGCCGUGUAAAGUUGAAUUCCAAACUUCAUUUCCUGUUACUUCUAGCUUUUUUCCUUUUUGAGAUUUUUCUACUUUUGCAUCUAAAAGAAGCAAGCUUUCAUCAGCUUGCUUGCUUGCUU